rnacentral:rRNA from 1 species
CCUACGGGUGGCUGCAGUGGGGAAUAUUGCACAAUGGGCGGAAGCCUGAUGCAGCCAUGCCGCGUGUGUGAAGAAGGCCUCAGGGUUGUAAAGCACUUUCAGUGGGGAGGAAGGCGGUAAGAGUAAUAUGCUUAUCGAUUGACGUUACCCGCAAAAGAAGCACCGGCUAACUCCGUGCCAGCAGCCGCGGUAAUACGGAGGGUGCGAGCGUUAAUCGGAAUAACUGGGCGUAAAGGGCAUGUAGGCGGUAAGUUAAAUCAGAUGUGAAAUCCCCAAGCUUAACUUAGGAAGGGCAUUUGAGACUGGCUAGCUAGAGUUUUGUAGAGGGGGGUAGAAUUCCAGGUGUAGCGGUGAAAUGCGUAGAGAUCUGGAGGAAUAUCAGUGGCGAAAGCGGCCCCCUGGACAAAAACUGACGCUGAGGUGCGAAAGCGUGGGUAGCAAACAGGAUUAGAUACCCCGGUAGUC